GGGGGCGUAGCUCAGUUGGGAGAGCGCUGGCUUUGCAAGCCAGAGGUCACGGGUUCGAGCCCCGUCGCCUCCACCA
rnacentral:tRNA from 1 species